GAUGAACGCUGGCGGCGUGCCUAAUACAUGCAAGUCGAGCGAACGGACGAGAAGCUUGCUUCUCUGAUGUUAGCGGCGGACGGGUGAGUAACACGUGGAUAACCUACCUAUAAGACUGGGAUAACUUCGGGAAACCGGAGCUAAUACCGGAUAAUAUUUUGAACCGCAUGGUUCAAAAGUGAAAGACGGUCUUGCUGUCACUUAUAGAUGGAUCCGCGCUGCAUUAGCUAGUUGGUAAGGUAACGGCUUACCAAGGCAACGAUGCAUAGCCGACCUGAGAGGGUGAUCGGCCACACUGGAACUGAGACACGGUCCAGACUCCUACGGGAGGCAGCAGUAGGGAAUCUUCCGCAAUGGGCGAAAGCCUGACGGAGCAACGCCGCGUGAGUGAUGAAGGUCUUCGGAUCGUAAAACUCUGUUAUUAGGGAAGAACAUAUGUGUAAGUAACUGUGCACAUCUUGACGGUACCUAAUCAGAAAGCCACGGCUAACUACGUGCCAGCAGCCGCGGUAAUACGUAGGUGGCAAGCGUUAUCCGGAAUUAUUGGGCGUAAAGCGCGCGUAGGCGGUUUUUUAGUCUGAUGUGAAAGCCCACGGCUCAACCGUGGAGGGUCAUUGGAAACUGGAAAACUUGAGUGCAGAAGAGGAAAGUGGAAUUCCAUGUGUAGCGGUGAAAUGCGCAGAGAUAUGGAGGAACACCAGUGGCGAAGGCGACUUUCUGGUCUGUAACUGACGCUGAUGUGCGAAAGCGUGGGGAUCAAACAGGAUUAGAUACCCUGGUAGUCCACGCCGUAAACGAUGAGUGUUAAGUGUUAGGGGGUUUCCGCCCCUUAGUGCUGCAGCUAACGCAUUAAGCACUCCGCCUGGGGAGUACGACCGCAAGGUUGAAACUCAAAGGAAUUGACGGGGACCCGCACAAGCGGUGGAGCAUGUGGUUUAAUUCGAAGCAACGCGAAGAACCUUACCAAAUCUUGACAUCCUUUGACAACUCUAGAGAUAGAGCCUUCCCCUUCGGGGGACAAAGUGACAGGUGGUGCAUGGUUGUCGUCAGCUCGUGUCGUGAGAUGUUGGGUUAAGUCCCGCAACGAGCGCAACCCUUAAGCUUAGUUGCCAUCAUUAAGUUGGGCACUCUAAGUUGACUGCCGGUGACAAACCGGAGGAAGGUGGGGAUGACGUCAAAUCAUCAUGCCCCUUAUGAUUUGGGCUACACACGUGCUACAAUGGACAACACAAAGGGCAGCGAAACCGCGAGGUCAAGCAAAUCCCAUAAAGUUGUUCUCAGUUCGGAUUGUAGUCUGCAACUCGACUACAUGAAGCUGGAAUCGCUAGUAAUCGUAGAUCAGCAUGCUACGGUGAAUACGUUCCCGGGUCU
rnacentral:rRNA from 1 species